rnacentral:rRNA from 1 species
GGGUUGUGAGGUUAAGCGACUAAGCGUACACGGUGGAUGCCCUGGCAGUCAGAGGCGAUGAAGGGCGUGCUAAUCUGCGAUAAGCGCCGGUAAGGUGAUAUGAACCGUUAUAACCGGCGAUACCCGAAUGGGGAAACCCAGUGUGACUCGUCACACUAUCAUUAACUGAAUCCAUAGGUUAAUGAGGCGAACCGGGGGAACUGAAACAUCUAAGUACCCCGAGGAAAAGAAAUCAACCGAGAUUCCCCCAGUAGCGGCGAGCGAACGGGGAGGAGCCCAGAGCCUGAAUCAGCAUGUGUGUUAGUGGAAGCGUCUGGAAAGGCGCGCGAUACAGGGUGACAGCCCCGUACACAAAAGCGCAUGUGCUGUGAGCUCGAUGAGUAGGGCGGGACACGUGGUAUCCUGUCUGAAUAUGGGGGGACCAUCCUCCAAGGCUAAAUACUCCUGACUGACCGAUAGUGAACCAGUACCGUGAGGGAAAGGCGAAAAGAACCCCGGCGAGGGGAGUGAAAAAGAACCUGAAACCGUGUACGUACAAGCAGUGGGAGCACCCUUCGGGGUGUGACUGCGUACCUUUUGUAUAAUGGGUCAGCGACUUAUAUUCUGUAGCAAGGUUAACCGAAUAGGGGAGCCGGAGGGAAACCGAGUCUUAACCGGGCGUUAAGUUGCAGGGUAUAGACCCGAAACCCGGUGAUCUAGCCAUGGGCAGGUUGAAGGUUGGGUAACACUAACUGGAGGACCGAACCGACUAAUGUUGAAAAAUUAGCGGAUGACCUGUGGCUGGGGGUGAAAGGCCAAUCAAACCGGGAGAUAGCUGGUUCUCCCCGAAAGCUAUUUAGGUAGCGCCUCGUGAAUUCAUCUCCGGGGGUAGAGCACUGUUUCGGCUAGGGGGCCAUCCCGGCUUACCAACCCGAUGCAAACUGCGAAUACCGGAGAAUGUUAUCACGGGAGACACACGGCGGGUGCUAACGUCCGUCGUGAAGAGGGAAACAACCCAGACCGCCAGCUAAGGUCCCAAAGUCAUGGUUAAGUGGGAAACGAUGUGGGAAGGCCCAGACAGCCAGGAUGUUGGCUUAGAAGCAGCCAUCAUUUAAAGAAAGCGUAAUAGCUCACUGGUCGAGUCGGCCUGCGCGGAAGAUGUAACGGGGCUAAACCAUGCACCGAAGCUGCGGCAGCGAC